rnacentral:rRNA from 1 species
GAUCCUGGCUCAGGACGAGCGCUGGCGGCGCGCCUAACACAUGCAAGUCGAACGAGCGAGAGAGAGUUUACUUUUUCGAGCGAGUGGCGAACGGGUGAGUAACGCGUGAGGAACCUGCCCCAAAGAGGGGGACAACAGUUGGAAACGACUGCUAAUACCGCAUAAGCCCACGGCUCGGCAUCGAGCAGAGGGAAAAGGAGCAAUCCGCUUUGAGAUGGCCUCGCGUCCGAUUAGCUAGUUGGUG